GAUGAACGCUGGCGGCGUGCUUAACGCAUGCAAGUCGAACGGGAAUUAUUUUAUUGAAACUUCGGUCGAUUUAAUUUAAUUCUAGUGGCGGACGGGUGAGUAACGCGUGGGUAACCUGCCUUAUACAGGGGGAUAACAGUCAGAAAUGGCUGCUAAUACCGCAUAAGCGCACAGAGCUGCAUGGCUCAGUGUGAAAAACUCCGGUGGUAUAAGAUGGACCCGCGUUGGAUUAGCUGGUUGGUGGGGUAACGGCCCACCAAGGCGACGAUCCAUAGCCGGCCUGAGAGGGUGAACGGCCACAUUGGGACUGAGACACGGCCCAGACUCCUACGGGAGGCAGCAGUGGGGAAUAUUGCACAAUGGGGGAAACCCUGAUGCAGCGACGCCGCGUGAAGGAAGAAGUAUCUCGGUAUGUAAACUUCUAUCAGCAGGGAAGAUAGUGACGGUACCUGACUAAGAAGCCCCGGCUAACUACGUG
rnacentral:rRNA from 1 species